rnacentral:rRNA from 1 species
CCUACGGGUGGCAGCAGUGAGGAAUAUUGGUCAAUGGGCGCGAGCCUGAACCAGCCAAGUAGCGUGAAGGAUGACUGCCCUACGGGUUGUAAACUUCUUUUAUAAAGGAAUAAAGUGAGGCACGUGUGCCUUUUUGUAUGUACUUUAUGAAUAAGGAUCGGCUAACUCCGUGCCAGCAGCCGCGGUAAUACGGAGGAUGCGAGCGUUAUCCGGAUUUAUUGGGUUUAAAGGGUGCGUAGGCGGAUCGUUAAGUCAGUGGUAAAAUUGGGGGGCUCAACCCCUUACCGCCAUUGAAACUGGCGUUCUUGAGUGGAAGAGAAGUAGGCGGAAUGCGUGGUGUAGCGGUGAAAUGCAUAGAUAUCACGCAGAACCCAGAUUGCGAAGGCAGUAUGCCGGCUUCCGACUGACGCUGAAGCACGAAAGCGUGGGGAUCGAACAGGAUUAGAUACCCGUGUAGUC